UACAAGGCUUAACACAUGCAAGUCGAGGGGCAUCAUUAUCGAAGCUUGCUUUGAUAGAUGGCGACCGGCGCACGGGUGAGUAACGCGUAUCCAACUCCCCUUAGUAGAGGAUAGCCCGGCGAAAGUCGGAUUAAUACUCUAUGUUGUAUUUUGAGGACAUCUGACGAAUACUAAAGAUUUAUCGCUAAGGGAUGGGGAUGCGUCUGAUUAGCUUGUCGGUGGGGUAACGGCCCACCGAGGCGACGAUCAGUAGGGGUUCUGAGAGGAAGGUCCCCACAUUGGUACUGAGACACGGACCAAACUCCUACGGGAGGCAGCAGUGAGGAAUAUUGGUCAAUGGACGAGAGUCUGAACCAGCCAAGUAGCGUGCAGGAAAAGACUGCCCUAUGGGUUGUAAACUGCUUUUAUGCGGGAAUAAAGUCAGGUACGCGUACCUGUUUGCAUGUACCGCAUGAAUAAGGACCGGCUAAUUCCGUGCCAGCAGCUGC
rnacentral:rRNA from 1 species